UAGUCCACGCCCUAAACGAUGCGAACUCGAUAUUUGCCCUUGUGGGUGAGUGUCCAAGCGAAAGCGUUAAGUUCGCCACCUGGGGAGUACGUCGGCAACGAUGAAACUCAAAGGAAUUGACGGGGGUCCGCACAAGCGGUGGAGCAUGAGGUUUAAUUCGAUGAUACGCGAGGAACCUUACCAGGGCUUAAAUGUAGUCUGACAGGGCCAGAAAUGGCUUUUUCUUCGGACAGAUUACAAGGUGCUGCAUGGUUGUCGUCAGCUCGUGCCGUGAGGUGUCAGGUUAAGUCCUAUAACGAGCGCAACCCCUGUUGUUAGUUGCCAUCGAGUAAUGUCGGGAACUCUAACAAGACUGCCGGUGCAAACCGUGAGGAAGGUGGGGAUGACGUCAAAUCAUCACGGCCCUUACGUCCUGGGCCACACACGUGCUACAAUGGUAGGUACAGAGAGCAGCCACUGCGUGAGCAGGAGCGAAUCUUCAAAACCUAUACUCAGUUCGGAUCGGAGU
rnacentral:rRNA from 1 species